rnacentral:rRNA from 1 species
GUAGGGAAUCUUGCACAAUGGGCGAAAGCCUGAUGCAGCAACGCCGCGUGAAGGAUGAAGGCCUUCGGGUUGUAAACUUCUGUUCCCGGGGACGAAGAAAGUGACGGUACCCGGGCAGCAAGCCCCGGCUAACUACGUGCCAGCAGCCGCGGUAAUACGUAGGGGGCAAGCGUUAUCCGGAAUUAUUGGGCGUAAAGAGUGCGUAGGUGGUUAUGUAAGCGUGAGGUUUAAGGCAGUGGCUUAACCACUGUUCGCCUUGCGAACUGCAUAACUUGAGUGCAGGAGGGGAAAGCGGAAUUCCUAGUGUAGCGGUGAAAUGCGUAGAUAUUAGGAGGAACACCAGCGGCGAAGGCGGCUUUCUGGACUGCAACUGACACUGAGGCACGAAAGCGUGGGGAGCAAACAGGAUUAGAAACCCUAGUAGUCC